AAACCAUGAUGAGGGCAACGACGAAGCAAAUCCUUGUAUCUUUCCCAAGCCUCAUACAGCGAUUCAUAGUCAAGUUGCAUGAAAGAAGUAAUUAUAUCAUUCCUCAUCGU
rnacentral:snoRNA from 1 species